rnacentral:sRNA from 1 species
CAGGACAGGUACAGCACAGGCAGUGACAGUGCAAGCUUUCCCCACACCACCACGUCCAUGCGCCUCAACCCUGACCUGGAGGGACAACCUCUAGA